CAAUUUUUCUGCUACCAUCUUACUUUAUCAGAUCCAAUUCUGAAACAUGGGGUCAUUUUUUGAAUAGGAAGCUAGCUAGUGCUUUGACCAGGUCGUCGUGUCAAGCAAAAGACAUCAACACACAAGGAUCCGACUCCAUAUGACUUCUAUAGUCCACAACAAAAUGCUUACGAAUCAUCAAGUCGUGAUUGUGAAGGAUGAUUACUUUGAUCGGAUGAUGCCUUCGUUCUUCACUUGUUUUCUGUUAAUCAGGUCUUCUCUUUUACUUUUAACCUCUUUUUAAUUUUUUGUCAAACACUUGUUUUAAAAGAUAGAAACCAAAACGUUUUUUUUCCUCAAAACUCCUUUUUCAAAGUUUUUAGAGAAAAAUUUAUAUAACUAGUUUGAUCAUGAAAACCUAAUUGUAAAUUUGUGCUAACAAAUAGAAUACAAUAUCUUUUCAUUAAGAUCGUUUUAGACAUUAUGUUUCAUUUGCUUUGACACUUACUAUCAUUAAGUUUAUCCUAAAACAUUCUAGCAACUAUAAACAAUUUUCUUUUUAGCAAAAAAAAAAACAAUUUUCCUUUUAUUUUUGUUUGUAUUUUUCUGAUAUUUUUGGCAACAAUUGUCUAAAAAAACAGAAAAAAAACGUUUCUUUUCAAAAUUUCUAAAACUUUUCAAGAUUUUUUCUAAGAAUAAAAUUAUAUAACUAGAUUUGAUCACAAAGACUUUAUGUGUAAAUUUGUCACAAACAAAUCUUGUCAUGGUGAUCGGUAGAGAAUAUAUCUUAUUUGAGCUUUAUCGACAAGCAUGCUAAGAACUAAUAUUUUUUGUCAUAAUUAAAUAAAGAUAAACCUUUUAACUUUAAUUUUUAAUAUUUCAAAAAUGCAUUUGAAACUAUAAUUUCCAGCAUCUAAUUACUCUAGUUCGUUAACAAUUAAAAAUUAUCUAUAUUGUUUGUUACUUAGGAAAUCUAUGUUUUCAUUAUAAACCCAACUUAUUAAUCCUAAUUAUCAGAGUGUUUUAAUGUAUAAACUCAAAUUCUUACAAGUAUAUCAUACCUGUGAAGUAAUAAAUGUUGUCUUUGAUCUUUUCUUGGAUAAACUCUUUUUUUUUGGGCAAACGAUAUCUUUGAUCUUUAAUUUUUUUUUGAAGUUUCAUUUAUUUACAUUAUGACAUGGCAAUAGAGACUAUUGUUUAUCUUGGUUUGAAAUUUGAGUUUCACCGAAGCCAUUCUCAGCGUUACUUAACUUACUUCGUUUGCUCCACUCGCCGUCGCUUCACCUUCACAUCUCCUAUCCGCCGAUCAUCUAUCAAUGGUUACGGGUUCGCCGGAUCUGCUCAUUUUAGGAAUGGGUUCACCGGAUCUAUGUUUGUAUAUAUAUGGUAUAUAUGUAUGCAUAAGUAUAUGCUUAUAUUUUUAUCCCUAACUCUAAACCCUAUCUAAAAGUUAACCUCAAAACUCCAUCCAAACUUAAACCCUAUCAUAAUAUUAAAUCAUACCAU